CUAUUAUCUGAUGGGAUGGGAAGACUUCAAGGGAACAGGUUUUGUGGUUAAAAUCAGGAGUUCAUGUUUGCGUAUGCUGAUUUUAAAUCUUUAUUAGACAUCCAAAUAGUGACAUCAAAUAACCAUUGUUGCAUCACAUCUCUGGAAAUAUGCUUGUGGGAGCCAUCAGCAUGUGGAAAGUGAAGCCACAACACUCGAUGAGAUCAACAAAAGUGUGACUAGGAAACAGAGGCAAAGCCUAAGCCCCGGGUCACCCGAACAGGAAGAGGUCUGGAGAACAGGAGAAACCGGCAAAGGAGAAGACAGACAGACAGACCGAUUAGGAGCAUGGAAGGAAUAAACAAGACAGUGUGAAGUCCUGGAAAGCAAGUGAGGAGCGCCUGCCAGGAUGGAGUGAUCUGCACUGUCAAAUGCCGCUGAGACAUCAAGUCGAAAGACGCCUGGGAACUGACCAUCAUAUUUAGCAAUGUGGAGGCCCCAGCUGACCUUCACAGGGGGAGUUCCAGUGGGGUUGUGGUGUAAAAGCCUGAGUGGAUGGAUAAGAAGGGAACUGGAGGAGAGGAAUGGAAGAUGGCAAGCAGCAGUAACUCAGGGUUUGGCUGCAAAAGGGAGCAGAUAGGACAGUAGAUAAGGGAGGAGGUGAAGAGGGGACUUUUGUCAAGCAGGAGGCAUUACAGCAGAGUAACCCAGCAGAAGGUGGGAAUGAUGACGGCGGUGAGAACAGAGGCUUGCUGGAGUAAAAUCAAAGGGGAUGGGGCUUAGCGCAGAAGACCAGAAGAGUCUCUGCAGAGGAGUUUGGCCAGAUCCUCUAUGGCGAAGGAUGUUUGUUGAAGUACCGAGGGAUGAACAGCCUUGACAAUGGGUCAUUGGGCAAAUGCGACUCCGGAAUAAUUCACCAGAGUAUGGACGUCCGGGAAUCGAAAAGGAACUGGCCAGCCUCCUACCAUAAGCCCUGCUAAACAGAACAGACACUAUGAAAUUUAAAACCACAGACAGCAUAAUUAAAUUGGAACCAAAGCGAAUGUGUCAUUGUUGGCUCUUUACAGAAUAAAUGAAAUGCAAGGUGAGC
ensembl:lncRNA